CCUUCCGCCUCCACUCCAUUUCCGCCGUUCGCGAAGGAAACUGUACCAAGGGUUAUCUCCUCCGGUCCAUGCUGGCUGCCGCCUCGGAUUGUUGUGGCCUCGGUGUUGCUCCCGGCGGUGGCAGCCGGCUCUCCCCCUCUAUUCGCGACGGCAGCUACUCCUCUUCCCCCUCGAAACGGCGCUUGAUUCUGUUUAGAUUUGCGAUCCUCCCACCAUUCCGGGUACCCAUGGAGUUCGAAGCAUGUUUCCCGAGUAUGCUUUUUCUUUCCACAAUGAUUACAUGUGAGCUUCAGUUUCUCCUCCUCCGUUUUCUUGCUCCAGUUACCGCCGGUAUUUCCGCCGCUUCGUUGAGGGGGAUUUCGGUGAGUGGCUUGAUUCGGCCAUGGCUGCCUUGCAAUGAGUCCAGCCGCGACUCCCUGUGUAGCCCCGGUAUCCCCUGAUUUCAGAACGCUCGCUCUAGUGUCCUCCCUCCGAAGGAUUCCGUAUGCUACUUCUACGGAUGGUAGUGGAUCCAAUCUAAGUAUUUCUUUCUUGAUCCCUUCGUACUUGUCGUUUAGGGCUACGAGAAGUUGGUCAUACACUUGAAUCUUGUCACCUCCGCUUGCGUACGUAAUCUCCAGGCUCUUCCAUACGUCUCUGGCUGAUGGGUAUUGAGACACUCGGUUGACUAGUUUCUCCUCCAAGUUUUGAAUCAACCACGUGAAUACGCAGUGAUCCCCUUGCUGCCAUCUUCCGAAGGCUGGAUCGGUUCUUGCAGGAGGGGAUGGGACUCCAGUAAUGUGAGACAACAUUCCCCUCCCGCUGAUUGCCGCUGUCAUGUGGAUGGCCCAAAGCGAGUAAUUUUCGCCAUUAAGUUUGGUUCCGAUCUGUAACGGUGAGGGUCUGCCGGAUUUUGGCCUUUUGGUUUGAGAUUGGUCCGAGACAGUGAUGAGACUUCUCUGAGUCUCACCCCCGCUCUGAUACCAUCUUGUUUUUGGUAUCGGCCAUAGAAGAGAGAAGAGUAGUGUAUAAGAGAUAGAUUGUAGGAAAUUGUGUGUCUUUUUAUUCAUCGGUUCUUACUACUCUUUAUAUAGAGUUUUACAUAUGUGUAUAUGGUAUGAUUUCCUAGAAUCAAUUUACAAUCAAUUGCUCAA